rnacentral:pre_miRNA from 1 species
UUUGAUCACCAGUAACUGAGAUUGUUUCUGAUACGGUUUCGUUUUCUGGCAAUCAAAAG